GACGAAGGUGGCAAGCGUUAUUCGGAUUUACUGGGCAUAAAGCGCGCGUAGGCGGCUUGGCAAGUCGGGGGUGAAAGCCCGCAGCUCAACUGCGGAACUGCCUUCGAUACUGCCGGGCUUGAGGGCGGGAGGGGUGAUUGGAACUCCAGGUGUAGCGGUGAAAUGCAUAGAUAUCGUCAAGAACACCGAUAGCGAAGGCAGCUUACCAAGCUGUAACUGACACUGAGGCACGAAAGUGUGGGGAUCAAACAGG
rnacentral:rRNA from 1 species